UGGGCGUACCAUACAGCCCCUGCAAGUCCCUCCCUUCCCCCCCCACCCCUUUUUUCACUUCCCCGGCGGCGGUGGGCACACGCACACACGCACAGAUUAUAUAUAUAUAUAUACAGUAAGACUCAUAGAGAGGUGAGGGAGGGAGGGAGAUACGCGCAGGUUUUGAGGCCCGCAAUGGAAUGUCCACUGUCACGCGUGCCCUUUGCCAGCAUCGUGGUGGAAGAGGAAGACGGUGACGACGUGGGCGUUGCGGAGACGCCCCAAGUCGAGGCAGGGCGCACGGGCGAUGUUCUAACCUGCGAAGUGGAUGCGGUGCAGCAGCAGCCCCAGCAGCACCGUGUUCACUUCGCUGCCUUGCGUGCCUCGAAAGCAGGAGUCGUGCACGCGGUGCAGGAUGCCGCCCCAGCGUGGCACGAGCGUGCGGCAUCUCCGGUCAGCAACAGCAGCCGUACUGGCAGCAGCGGCCAGGUGACACAUGGACUUCGACUCGCACUCAGCGGUGCUACCGCCGUGGCUGCCGCGAGUUCAAGCACGCACAGCUCCUACUCGGAGAGCAAGGGCACGGUGUCUUUCAGCCGCACUCUGCAUCUGAGAUCGACUGCAGGGCCGCCGCAAGCGACUACCAAGACACCAGCUCAGCCCUCACCACAACGAGUGCCGCCCGAUACGUCCUCAUCACGGCGGAGAACGCUGAAGGACGGCGCUGAGGCUGAAGAGACUGUAACGCGCACAGCAUCCUCGUCAAAGACGACAGCAGCAGCGAAAAAUCGUAGUGCUGCUCGUGAGUCGCGCAGAGGCGGAGGCCACACCGACGAGUCGGCCUCGAGGCGUAUCCAUGCACGGCCAGUGCGGCAGUCUGCAGCCUCUGCCGCAGUAACAGCACCGCGCUCCGCUGCAUCCGUGCCACCAUCACCGCCUCUGGUAUCUGCCUCACCGGAAGAAAGGGCAGCAGAGACACACCGGCUCGCGGUGCAGGCUGCCCGCCCCUCGAGCCUCUCCGUGUGCUUCGAUUGGUGGAUGUAUCUGUGCUACUACGACACCCACGCACUCUUUACGUCGCAGACAACUGCCUUUGAGGUGCCGCUGCGUCCCGUCGCCGCCGCCAGUGCUAGCGUGUUCUACGCGGAGCUCACCCGCUGCUUUGCUGCGUGGCGCCGUCAGCACUGGGACUCGCUAGUGGUACUGCGCGACGUCGAGCCGGUCGAUGCUGGUGCGCGUCGCCGUAGCGGUGCCACGGCGACGCGCGUAGUGCGCGAUCUGGCACUGCUCGAGUACGCCAGCGCGGUAUGGUAUGAGAGUCUGCGGGUGCAGCGGCUGAUGGUGCAACUGCUGCUUUCUGGCAGCGAUGGAAGCUGGUCAUUUGAUGUGGGAUGCUUCGAUGCCCUACUCACUGCCCUCGGGGCCCCGCCAUCGGUGGAGUCGCCCCUGUGCCCUGCACCCCCGGGGCCUGCCACCGUCAUGCCACCGUAUCAUGUGGCACGACCAGGUCCUCCCAGCGGGAUGGCGGGCACCGCCGCCAACUCUCCCACCACUCUCGUUACGGUGACGCGCAAGGACGCCGCGGCGGGGCCGCUGCCAACAGACGGUCUCUCCAUCCGCGUCCCUACUGCGACUCGCAUGCUCUCGCUUCUGCACGUGCUUGAUGUGUUGUGGAACACGCUGCCCACCUCCAUCCCGUUCCGCAUGCCCGUGUCGGAGAUGGAGGCGCCUGGCUACUACCGCAGCACCCGUGACCCCGUGAGCCUCUGCCAGCUGUACGAGGAAGCUUUUUGUGGAAUGACUGCACCGACGCACCGCGCGUGUGUGCGCCAGCGCGCACUCAUUACCCGCCGGCUGCUGGAAGUGCAAGCGUAUCCACCUAGUCGCAUCGGCAGCGGGAACGCUGUAGGAGAGGAGGUGCAGUCCUGCUUUUUCAGCCCCACGCACCUGCGCGAACGGCUCACGACACUCAAGGCAAACUGCGUCGACUACAACGGCGGCGGGAGCGAGCUGAGCCGGCAAGCGAGUGCGCUGCUCAGUGCAGGUGUCAAGGCGCUGCGGGACUCGCAGGCCGAAGAAGACAGUCGGACGGCGUACCAGGUGCGAGAAGAAGCCCACGUGAGGGAGGCACCGCCCGCCGCAUCAGACGAGCGUGCCGCACCGAAGCCGGGCACUGCAGGUGCGCGCUUUCUGGAGGACUUGCCGAGUUUGUUCCCUCCUAGCGAGGCGGCAGCCGUGGUGCCUCCCAACCUGCGACAGCCCUCUCCCAUAGGCGAGCAUACUGCCGACGUCAACAGUGCAAGCGGACAUGGGGAAAGCAGCCGACACAGGCGCGUACUGCACCUCCGCUCAGCCAACCCGAACGAUGUUGCAUCCAGCAUCUCGCCCUCCACCCCCAACCGGGACCUGAAAGACUUCUGGGUGCAGUGCGAUGACUGCAACGCGUGGCACAAGCUAGCGACGCGCCUCGACCCGGUCCCUGACACGUGGACGUGCGGCUUUCUGGGACUCAGCUGCUCAUCACGCAAGAAGAAGCACAAGGCGGGCAAGCGCACUCUCAAGAAGGCCACCACGGAAGGUAAGAAGCGGACAAAGGCGUCUGCGCAGCGACACCGUGGAGCCAGAGACGGUCCGAAAAUCGACGGCACUGACGCAGCUCCAAACGCGGUCACGGCGGCACCACACAACCUCGGCGGGCAGGGCGACGACAGUGGCGGCGGUAGUGGUGAAGACGACGAUGUACCGCUCGUAGAUACGUUCCCGGUGGCGGUGGGGGCUGCUAUGGUCGCCGCCACUGCAAAGCCGCUAAAGCGCCGGCGAUCAACGCCACGGAAGUCGCGCACCAUUCGCCAGGAGCCGAAGAAAGCGCGUGUGCUGCUGCCCACGCCGUCGUCCUCAUCAUCGUCAUCGUCAUCGUCAUCGUCGUCGGGAAGCUCCUCCGACAACGACUCAAGCAGUAGUAGCAAGAGUAAUAGCAGCGACUCUGAGCCUGACUCCGACUCUGGCCUCAGCGACGGCGGCAAAGGCAAGGCAGCCUCAGCGCAGCCUAUCUCGCGUGCACCCCGGCAAGCAAAGUCGUUUACCGUCGCUACCCACAAACUUCCACGGAGCGCUGACGUGACCAGCGCCAUCGGCAAGUGUUCCCCCACCGCGGCGGCGGCUAAGGCGACUGGGACCGGCGCUUCUCAUCCGGCAAGCACGACGCUGCAGCAGCUGAUGCAGGCGGUGGCAGAGCUAGAGGGUCGACCGCUACAGGAUAGCCCGUUCGAUCAGCUUGAAGAGAUCAAGAGACUGGAGAAGCGACUCAGCGCCAUGGACUGAGUGCACGCACUUCCAUUUCUGCGCAUGUGUGCACGCGUUGCUAGCCGCCCUCCCUCAUCCCUCGUCCUUCUUCCCUAUCGUUUGCCUCGGCGCACGGCUGACGCGUUGCACGCUGGCGUCGUCCCCUUAAGCAAUGGCCAAUACGCGGGCGUCAAACUACAAGAGGGAAGUAAUGAAGGCAGCAGCGACAGCGGUGAUCGCAAUGCGGCGCUACUCGCGCUACCGCAGCCGCCGCCUCUUCACUCGUCUAGCAUCGGAGGGCAUGAUGCGCGUCGUCCAGCGCAGAUCGGUCUCCCACCACACCAU
rnacentral:misc_RNA from 1 species